rnacentral:sRNA from 2 species
GCAGAGUCACCGCCUAAUCGACAAGCGGGUGGGCAGCCCAAAUGUCGAACCGGGGACCCAGGUUUCUGGGGUGAAUCCUCUUCGGUCGCAAGGUCGAUGGGGUAGGGCCGAUCUUCCCGGUCCGAACCCGUCAGCUAACCCGGUAGGCGUGUGGGCAAGGAAGA